rnacentral:rRNA from 1 species
CCUACGGGCGGCUGCAGUAAGGAAUAUUGGUCAAUGGACGAAAGUCUGAACCAGCCAUCCCGCGUGCAGGAUGAAAGCCCUAUGGGUUGUAAACUGCUUUUAGCAGAGAAGAAAAGCUUCCAUUUAUGGGGGUCUGACGGUAUCUGAAGAAUAAGCACCGGCUAACUCCGUGCCAGCAGCCGCGGUAAUCCGGAGGGUGCGAGCGUUAUCCGGAAUUACUGGGGUAGACGGGUGCGUAGGCGGGUGGUUAAAUCUUGUCGCUUAACGAUAAAAUUGCCAAUGAUACUGGUACUCUUGCAUUGGGUUGAGGUUAGCGGAAUGUGACAUGUAGCGGUGAAAUGCAUAGAUAUGUCAUGGAACACCAAUUGCGAAGGCAGCUAACUGGGCCUUGAUUGACGCUGAGGCACGAAAGCGUGGGUAGCGAACAGGAUUAGAUACCCCUGUAGUC